UACAGAGGGUGCGAGCGUUAAUCGGAAUUACUGGGCGUAAAGCGCGCGUAGGCGGCUUUGCAAGUCGGGUGUGAAAUCCCCAGGCUUAACCUGGGAACUGCAUUCGAGACUGCAUUGCUAGAGUAUGGGAGAGGGAAGUGGAAUUUCCGGUGUAGCGGUGAAAUGCGUAGAUAUUCGGAAGAACACCAGUGGCGAAGGCGACUCACUGGACAUGUAUUGACGCUGAGGUACGAAAGCGUGGGGAGCAAACAGG
rnacentral:rRNA from 1 species